ensembl:lncRNA
UUUUUUUUUUUUGAGACAGAGUUUCUCUCUUGUUGCCCAGGUUGGAGUGCAAUAGCAUGAUCUCAGCUCACUGCAACCUCUGCCUCCUAGGUUCAAGCAAUUCUCCUGCCUCGGCCUCCCUAGUAAUCUGGGAUUACAGGACCCCGCAACCACAUCCAGCUAAUUUUUAAUUUUUUUUUUAGUAGAGAUGGGGUUUCACUGUGUUGGCCAGGCUGGUCUUGAACUCCUGACCUCAGGUGAUCCACCCGCCUCGGCCUCCCAAAGUGCUAGGAUUACAGGCGUAAGCCACUGUGCCUGGCCGGGAGUAUCUCUUACAUGAAGAAUAUCAAGGACAUUCAAAGUGCUUUUAGUAGUGGGCCACAAGUUCAGAAAUCCCUGGGUGUGCAGCCACUGGCAUUUAAACUAAUGGCAAGUAAAGAGGGUUAGUAUGUGUAGGAGUUGGAAGUCAAGCGUAUGUAUUUAAGUCAAGUGUAUGCAACAUAUGAAUGAGCAGAAACAUUAAACAUAACCUUUAGGAAAAGACAACAGGCAAGUGCAAACAAAAAGAAAGCAGACUAUGCAUUAUUCAUAUCACAAAAUAAAUUCAAGGAAAGCAAAAUCUAUUUAGAUAUUUACUAAAAGGAGAGCACUACAUAACAGAGCUUAUGGGAACGGGCCAAAUCUCCACUUACAAGAAGAUUAACAACCUUAAAUUUCUUUAUUGUAGAGCUAAGAAUGAAAAUACCUGAACUGAGCAGUCAGUUCAAGAAAAAUGACAAAAAGAAGGGAGCAGACUGAAUCAGAAUUUGGCCACAGUCCAGUUCAUAGAUGUGGGGCAGGGAAAGGAAAAAGGGUCUCUCAAAUGCACAAAUAACAUGAUCAGAGAGAUGCAAGUACAACCAAGGGAGCUCAGUUUCACUGAACCAAGGGGAACAGAGUUUUUUGGUUUGUUUUUGUUUCAGAUAGGGUCUUGCUUUGUUGCCCAUGCUGGUCUUGAACUCCUGGCCUCAAGCAAUCCUCCUACUUCAGCCUCCCAAAGUGAUGGUGCUGGGAUUGCCGGUGUGAGCCACCACGCCAGGCCAUGAGAAAUGGAGAGUUUUUGUUUUUGUUUUUGUUUUUGAGACGGAGUUUCACUCUUGUUGUCCAGGCUGCAGUGCAGUGACACAAUCUUGGCUCACCGCAACCCCCGCCUCCCGGGUUCAAGCGAUUCUCCUGCCUCAGCCUCCCAAGUAGCUGGGAUUACAGGCACCCACCACCAUGCCCAGCUAAUUUUGUAUUUUUAGCAGAGACAGGGUUUCUCCGUGUUGGCCAGGCUGGUCUCGAACUCCCAACCUCAGGUGAUCUGCCCACCUCAACCUCCCAAAGUGCUGGGAUUACAGGUGUGAGCCACCGAGCCCAGCCUGUUUUUGUUUUUGAGACAGGGUCUCACUCUUACCCGGGCUGGAGUGCAGUGGCAUGAUCUCAGCUCACUGCAACCUCUGCCUGCCGGCCUCAGGGAUCCUCCCACCUCAACUCCCCAAGUAGCUGGGACUACAGGUGCAAGCCACCACACCUGACUAAUGUUUGUAUUUUUGGUAGAGAC